GGGUCCCGCCGGGGCGGCCCGGCCCGGCCCGGGGCGCGCGGCGGGCUCGGGGCGUGUUCCCGAUCGGGCCGCACCCCGUGCCCGGCGGAGCGGGGCAGCCCGGCGCCGAGCUCACGGCUACGGGUGGCGGCCACGGCGAGCGGGGACCCCGGCGUAGGCUGCGCGGCGGGCACGAAUGAGACCGAAGACAGCGAGCCGUGGCGUCCGCCCCGGGCAGGGCUGCCUCCCGCCCCGGGCCCGCCGCGGUCCGGUACCGUGCGGCGCCGUCGGAGGGGACGGCGAUAGGGCGGCCCGGCUCGGUUUGGGCUGCGCAGGCAGCGCCGCGCUCUGAGCCGUCCCUCGGCACUCUCGUCCCCGCCGCCAGUCCCGUCCCACCGCCGCCCGCUGCCCCGGGGCCGCUCCGCGAGGCCGAGGCCGGCCGCAGCGCCGCCCGGCCCGCAGCAAGGCCCGUGGCCCUGCCCGGCGGCGGGGCCGGGGGCUCGGCGGGGCCGUCGCUACGCUGCUGCGGGCCGGCCCGGUGGAACGGCCGUCGGGCGCGGCGGGGCCCGGCCGGGGGACCGGCGCAGCGGCGGGAGAAGCCCGGCGCUGAGCUUGGCCAGGGCCCGGCCCCGGCGCUGCCCGCGCUCUCUCUUAUUGCGGCUUUAUCCCCAAAUGUCAGGCGCUGUCGGGAGCGGCCCCCGCCGCGUCGCGGCCCCGCUCAGGGACGGAGCCCGGCCCCGCGCCGGGCCGCCCUCCCCUGCAGAAGCCCACUUCAUGCUUGUCACCUAAAUUGAGGAUCCUUUUUGUGCCGGGAGGGGGGCGAACAUGGGCAUUUCAAUCACUAGGACAUAAUAUGGCUCUGCUAGAAGUCUGGCAACAAACAAAGAACAACAACUAUUGGUUUGCAUCAACUUUUGUCAGGCAUUCAGCAGGCAUCCAGAAAGGCCUGAAGUGGCUUAGUGGCAACAAUGUGCAUUUCAUAGCUACAGCAUGAAAAUCCAUCUCCAUGGAAACGGGUAGUAAAUGCUAACAUGACAUGCUGAGUAUAAAUAUUGUGAGGGUUAUAACUCUUGUAUAAAUGGCCCAGAUAAAUGUCCCCCUGUUUAGGAAUUACAACAAAACAUGUUAUUUCAUGCUGCAGCCCUCGCUAGCUCCCAGAGAGUCCUCCGUAGCCCGGGCACUGUGCUUGGGAAUAACUCCAGGCUUGCCCGUGGGCUGCAGCCCUCCCGCCCUUGUGGGGCUGGGGCCGCGGCACCUUCAGGGUUUUCUCGUGCCCGGUUUAGGGAGUCCGUCCACAGGCUUUGCCUUUCAUUUCUACACAAAAUAAACCACCCUGUGGCAGCUGCAGUUGUAGAUCGGUGAAACUUCUUUUUCUAUAGGUAGUAACACCUUAGAUAUUUUUGUUAAUUAGUAAAGAAUGUCGAAUAGUCUUUAGGCUACCUAAAAAAAGCAUUAUUUGGCAAUGUAAACAUUUACAUUAUUUGCAAAUAAAUGUACUCUCUAAAGUUCCCAACUUUAGUUUCUGUAAAAUAAAGAAUUGUACUUAGUGACCUAAAAAGCAAGAUCAGAGACUAUUGCUUUGUGAAACAAAAACACUUUUCUGACUGAAAACAGAAUUGUUGCUGCUUCAGAACUUCCCCUAUUACCAAAAGUGUCCAGUAGUAGAGGGGGAAAAUGGGGUAACCAGGCUGCCGAGCAAUAAAAAGAUAUCAACAUGUUGGCCUUUGUUGCAUCCCAGCACCUAGUGUGACAUGACAUGGUGCCCUGCUGUGCGUGCCCCCGAGGACUGACAGCGGCUCACGGGAAGGGGAGGGGAGACACGAGCUGGAGAAAUAUUCGUUUAUGGUAGCUAGAGGAUAAAAAUAGCUGUCUGUCCGUGCAAGUGGCCCUGGGCUGAGCAGUGCAGAGGGUCGGUUUCAUCCGUCAGACUGUGGGGAGUGAAGCCAUGAGCGAGCUGAGAGAGGCAACUACAGCGAGAGGACAGAGCCGGAGCACCGGGAUGGGAAGUGCUUGUGGGCUCAGAGAGAAUGCCUUGGGGUGGUGGGAUGGGAUGGAACCGGUGCGGAGCAAGACAGGGAUCAGUAAUGCCAGAUGCUUUUUGUUAUCCUGAGUCCUAUUUACAAAUAUCUGGGAAAAUUUUUUUUAAAAAAAGGAAAAUAAAGUUUACUUAAAUAUCUCA